rnacentral:rRNA from 1 species
AUUGAACGCUGGCGGCAGGCCUAACACAUGCAAGUCGAGCGGAUGAAGGGAGCUUGCUCCUGGAUUCAGCGGCGGACGGGUGAGUAAUGCCUAGGAAUCUGCCUGGUAGUGGGGGAUAACGUCCGGAAACGGGCGCUAAUACCGCAUACGUCCUGAGGGAGAAAGUGGGGGGUCUUCGGACCUCACGCUAUCAGAUGAGCCUAGGUCGGAUUAGCUAGUUGGUGGGGUAAAGGCCUACCAAGGCGACGAUCCGUAACUGGUCUGAGAGGAUGAUCAGUCACACUGGAACUGAGACACGGUCCAGACUCCCACGGGAGGCAGCAGUGGGGAAUAUUGGACAAUGGGCGAAAGCCUGAUCCAGCCAUGCCGCGUGUGUGAAGAAGGUCUUCGGAUUGUAAAGCACUUUAAGUUGGGAGGAAGGGCAGUAAGUUAAUACCUUGCUGUUUUGACGUUACCAACAGAAUAAGCACCGGCUAACUUCGUG